UACGAAGGGGGCUAGCGUUGCUCGGAAUCACUGGGCGUAAAGCGCACGUAGGCGGCUUUCUAAGUCAGGGGUGAAACCCUGGAGCUCAACUCCAGAACUGCCUUUGAUACUGGCGAUCUUGAGUUCGAGAGAGGUGAGUGGAACUGCGAGUGUAGAGGUGAAAUUCGUAGAUAUUCGCAAGAACACCAGUGGCGAAGGCGGCUCACUGGCUCGAUACUGACGCUGAGGUGCGAAAGCGUGGGGAGCAAACAGG
rnacentral:rRNA from 1 species